UCUGCAGGCGUGUGUGUGUGUGUGUGUGUGUGUGUAUAUAUACACACACACACACACACACAGUAU
rnacentral:miRNA from 1 species